CAAAAAGUAGCUUAUGACUAAAGCAUCCGCUUUACAAACGGAAGACGUUACUUUUCAACCUUUUUGA
rnacentral:tRNA from 1 species